AAUAUUGGACAAUGGGCGAAAGCCUGAUCCAGCCAUGCCGCGUGUGUGAAGAAGGUCCUCGGAUUGUAAAGCACUUUAAGCUGGGAGGAAGGGUUGUAGGUUAAUACCCUGCAAUCUUGACGGUAUCUGCAGAAUAAGCACCGGCUAACUACGUGCCAGCAGCCGCGGUAAUACGUAGGGUGCAAGCGUUAAUCGGAAUUACUGGGCGUAAAGGGCGCGUAGGUGGUUCGUUAAGUUGGAAGUGAAAGCCCCGGGCUUAACCUGGGAAUUGCUUUCAAAACUGACGAGCUAGAGUACGGUAGAGGGUAGUGGAAUUUCCUGUGUAGCGGUGAAAUGCGUAGAUAUAGGAAGGAACAUCAGUGGCGAAGGCGACUACCUGGACUGAUACUGACACUGAGGUGCGAAAGCGUGGGGAGCAAACAGG
rnacentral:rRNA from 1 species